rnacentral:sRNA from 1 species
AGUUAGAAUGGCAAUAUCAUCAAGGUAUUGGCUCUUGCGCUCUCCAAACCCUGGAGCUCUGAGAGCUGCUAUCUUCAGUGUACCUCUAAGCUUGUUUACAACAAGAGUCGCUAAAGCUUCUUGUUCAAUGUCUUCAGCAAUAAUUAAUAUUGGGUAUCCGCCUCUAAUUGCAUCCUCCAAAACACCAACAAGAUCCCUUGCAUUGGUAAUUUUCUUGUCAACGAGAAGUAAC